rnacentral:rRNA from 1 species
CAGUCGCCACGGUAAUACGAAGGGUGCAAGCGUUACUCGGAAUUACUGGGCGUAAAGCGUGCGUAGGUGGUUAUAUAAGACAGAUGUGAAAUCCCCGGGCUCAACCUGGGAACUGCAUUUGUGACUGUAUAGCUAGAGUACGGCAGAGGGGGAUGGAAUUCCGCGUGUAGCAGUGAAAUGCGUAGAUAUGCGGAGGAACACCGAUGGCGAAGGCAAUCCCCUGGGCCUGUACUGACGCUCAUGCACGAAAGCGUGGGGAGCAAACAGGAUUAGAUACCCGAGUAGUCCCUGUCUCUUAUAC